rnacentral:rRNA from 1 species
UACGUAGGGUCCGAGCGUUGUCCGGAAUUACUGGGCGUAAAGAGCUCGUAGGUGGUUUGUCGCGUUGUUCGUGAAAACUCACAGCUCAACUGUGGGCGUGCGGGCGAUACGGGCAGACUUGAGUACUGCAGGGGAGACUGGAAUUCCUGGUGUAGCGGUGGAAUGCGCAGAUAUCAGGAGGAACACCGGUGGCGAAGGCGGGUCUCUGGGCAACAACUGACGCUGAGGAGCGAAAGCGUGGGGAGCGAACAGG